rnacentral:rRNA from 1 species
GACAGAGGGUGCAAACGUUGCUCGGAAUCACUGGGCGUAAAGGGCGUGUAGGCGGGAAGAUAAGUCGGGCGUGAAAUCCCUGGGCUCAACCCAGGAACUGCACUCGAAACUGUUUUUUCUUGAGUAUCGGAGAGGAAAGCGGAAUUCCUGGUGUAGAGGUGAAAUUCGUAGAUAUCAGGAGGAACACCAGCGGCGAAGGCGGCUUUCUGGACGAUAACUGACGCUGAGACGCGAAAAGCGUGGGGGAGCAAACAGG